GACGAACGCUGGCGGCAGGCCUAACACAUGCAAGUCGAACGAGUGGCGGACGGGUGAGUAAUGUCUGGGAAACUGCCUGCUGGAGGGGGAUCACUACUGGAAACGGUAGCUAAUACCGCAUACCAUAAGAUGUGCCCAAAUGGGAUUAGCUUGUUGGUGGGGUAACUGCUCACCAAGGCGACGAUCCCUAGCUGGUCUGAUAGGAUGACAAGCCAAACGGGAACGGAGACACGGUCCAGAAUCCAACGGGAGGCAGCAGUGGGGAAUAUUGCACAAUGGGCGCAAGCCUGAUGCAGCCAUGCCGAGUGUAUGAAGAAGGCCUUCGGGUUAUAAAGUACUUUCAGCGGGGAGGCGUUACCCGCAGAAGAAGCACCGACUAACUCCGUGCCAGCAGCCGCGGGAAUUC
rnacentral:rRNA from 1 species